GAUGAACGCUGGCGGCGUGCCUAAUACAUGCAAGUCGAGCGAACAGACGAGGAGCUUGCUCCUCUGACGUUAGCGGCGGACGGGUGAGUAACACGUGGAUAACCUACCUAUAAGACUGGGAUAACUACGGGAAACCGGAGCUAAUACCGGAUAAUAUAUUGAACCGCAUGGUUCAAUAGUGAAAGACGGUUUUGCUGUCACUUAUAGAUGGAUCCGCGCCGCAUUAGCUAGUUGGUAAGGUAACGGCUUACCAAGGCAACGAUGCGUAGCCGACCUGAGAGGGUGAUCGGCCACACUGGAACGGAGACGCGGUCCAGACUCCUACGGGAGGCAGCAGUAGGGAAUCUGCCGCAAUGGGCGAAAGCCUGACGGAGCAACGCCGCGUGAGUGAUGAAGGUCUUCGGAUCGUAAAGCUCUGUUAUUAGGGAAGAACAAAUGUGUAAGUAACUAUGCACGUCUUGACGGUACCUAAUCAGAAAGCCACGGCUAACUACGUG
rnacentral:rRNA from 1 species